AAACCAUUAUGAUUCGCAAUGCAUAUAACUCUCCAUUCUCUAACAAAGCACGUCUGACACAUCAUAGAUGGGGGAGAGGUUUUGCCGGGGGGUGGGGAGUGUUCUUUGAGUAAUUACAUGUACACACAUCUUUACCACUGAAGAUGCUCCAUUUUGUGGCUCGCUUUCCUUAAUAUUACACAUACUAUUGUAACAGUUGUUGCUCAAUAAUUGCACAACCGGCUUCAGCAGGCUGUUUUCAAAAGCUUGAACAUAACCAGAUUGUCAUCAUUUGUCCUUGUUUUCACCG
rnacentral:misc_RNA from 1 species